AAAAGGAAAGCAAGGAGAGAAGGCAUCCUUCCCGGAGCUGGCCCAGGCCUCCAGCUCUCCCACGGCAGGGCAGGGACGUCCAGAGCAGGAGAAACUACAUAGUAGAUGAGGAAGAACAGCAAUUAAGACAGACACACGCGAAUCCCACCACCUAGUUGAAGAAGUGUGCUUUUUCACCUCCGGGUGGACAGAGGCAGCUUUCAGAUCCGGGGUGAGAUUCUGAGCUGGCCGGGCCAUCACUGGUGCCUGCCCGGCACCUCUCCUGCCCCCUCCGCCCGGCCUCCGGGGCGGUUCUGGUUGUGUACCCACUGGGGUUAAUCUCCUUCAGCAAGGAGCCAUGCCCCCCAGGGACGCGGGUUCAAGCCCUGGUCCGGGAAGAGCCCACAUGCUGCUAAGCCCAUGCGUGCGCCAUAACGACUGAGCCUGGGCUCUAGAGCCCUCGAGCCACAACUACUGAGCCCACAUGCCGCAACUACUGAAGCCUGCAUGCCUAGAGCCCAUGCUCCGCAGCAAGAGAAGCCACGGCAAUGAG